CGGUAAUUCCAGCUCCAAUAGCGUAUACUAAAGUUGUUGCAGUUAAAAAGCUCGUAGUUGGAUUUCUGCGGGGACGGAGCGGCCGGUCGCAACUUGCGACUCGAGCUAGCGCUUUCCCCGCAUCCUGCCGCGAACCGUGCUACCAUUAGUUUGGUGGCGCUGGGGAUCGGCUCGAUUACUUUGAGAAAAAUAGAGUGUUCAAAGCAGGCCACACGCCUUGAAUAAGUUAGCAUGGAAUAAUGACUAAGGACUUUGGUUCUUUUCGUUGGUGUUCGGGACUGAAGUAAUGAUUGAUAGGGACAGUUGGGGCGGUCCGUAUUCCAAAGCGAGAGGUGAAAUUCUUAGACCUUCGGAAGACGAACAGCUGCGAAAGCGUUCCGCAAGGAUGUUCCCUUUGAUCAAGAACGAAAGUUGGGGGAUCGAAGACGAUCAGAUACCGUCGUAGUCUCAACUAUAAACUAUACCAGCUAGGGAUCGGCCAACGUUUAAUUAUUCGACUUGGUCGGCACCUUAUGAGAAAUCAAAGCAUCUGGGUUCCGGGGGGAGUAUGGUCGCAAGGCUGAAACUUAAAGGAAUUGACGGAAGGGCACCACCAGCCGUGGAGCCUGUGGCUUAAUUUGACUCAACACGGGAAAACUUACCAGGUCCGGACAUAGUAAGGAUUGACAGAUUGAUAGCUCUUUCUUGAUUCUGUGGGUGGUGGUGCAUGGCCGUUUUUAGUCGGUGGAUGUGAUCUGUCUGCUUAAUUGCGUUAACGGACGAGACCCCAGCCUGCUAAAUAGCGCGGCCGAGCUUUGCUCGGUGCGAGCUUCUUAGAGGGACCAUGAUGCGCGAUAGCACAAGGAAGUUUGGGGCAACAACAGGUCUGUGAUGCCCUUAGAUGUUCUGGGCCGCACACGGGCUACACUGGCGCCUGCAACGAGCAUAUCAGCUGGCCCGAGAGGGUCUUGGCUAAUCUUUGGAACCGGCGCCGUGCUUGGGAUUGACCAUUGCAAUUGUUGGUCAUGCAACGAGGAAUGCCUUGUAAACGCGAGUCAUCAGCUCGCAUUGAAUACGUCCCUGCCCUUUGUACACACCGCCCGUCGCUUCUACCGAUGAAUGUUCCGAUGAAAUUUUCGGAGAGCGCCGGAGAACGGGGCUCCGCCCUGCAGAACUGGAGGCUCAAAGUCACUUUAAUCUGAACAUUUCGAGGAAGGAGAAGUCGUAACAAGGUAGCCG
rnacentral:rRNA from 1 species